rnacentral:misc_RNA from 1 species
GAUGAAGAACGCAGCGAAAUGCGAUACCUGGUGUGAAUUGCAGAAUCCCGCGAACCAUCGAGUCUUUGAACGCAAGUUGCGCCCGAGGCCACCCGGCCGAGGGCACGCCUGCCUGGGCGUCACGCCAAAACACGCUCCCACCCCCCCUCACCGGGGGAGCGGGACGCGGCGUCUGGCCCCCCGUGCCGCGAGGCGCGGUGGGCCGAAGAUCGGGCUGCCGGCGUACCGUGCCGGGCACAGCGCGUGGUGGAUCUCUCCUCGGCGCAGUGCACCCGGCGCGUAGCCGGCGCAGCGGCCCCUAAGGACCCAACGAACGGAGCGCGAGCCGCUCCGACCGCGACCCCAGGUCAGGCGGGACUACCCGCUGAGUUUAAGCAUAUCAAUAAGCGGAGGA